rnacentral:misc_RNA from 1 species
UUUCCGUAGGUGAACCUGCGGAAGGAUCAUUAAUGAGUUGUCAUGGGGUUCGAUGCUGGCAGCCAAUUUUUGGAUGCAUGUGCUUGCCCUAACAAUCAUCUUCCAAACACCUGUGCACAUUCUUGAGGGAGUCUUGAGUUGGUUGCCGCUCUUGGGUGAUUUUCUCACAUUCCCUUAAAUCAUUAUACGCUAUUAACAAUGUUGAACGUGCUCUGUGCCGCAAGGCUAUUAAUAUAAUACAACUUUUAACAACGGAUCUCUUGGCUCUCGCAUCGACGAAGAACGCAGC